CAAAACAUAGCUUAAUAAAUAAGGCAUUCAGCUUACACCUGAAAAAUGUCCAUUAAAAUUGGACUAUUUUGA
rnacentral:tRNA from 1 species